AAAUGCGAUAAUUAAUGUGAAUUACAGAAUUCAGUGAAUCAUCGAGUCUUUGAACGCACAUUGCGCCCCCUGGUAUUCCGGGGGGCAUGCCUGUCCGAGCGUCAUUGCUGCCCUCAAGCACGGCUUGUGUGUUGGGCUUCCGUCCCUGGCAACGGGGACGGGCCCAAAAGGCAGUGGCGGCACCAUGUCUGGUCCUCGAGCGUAUGGGGCUUUGUCACCCGCUCCCGUAGGUCCAGCUGGCAGCUAGCCUCGCAACCAAUCUUUUUAACCAGGUUGACCUCGGAUCAGGUAGGGAUACCCGCUGAACUUAAGC
rnacentral:misc_RNA from 1 species